UUCUCGAAUUUAAAAGAGUUAAUUAAUUAAAAAAUUUAUUGUAGCAAAAAUAUUUUUCAUAAUUAAUUAGAAAUGAAAUGUUAAUCGUUUUUAGAUAUAUCUAGUUUUUUUAGAAAAAAAUUUAAUUUUAAAUUAAAUUAAUUAAAAAAUUAAUUAAAAAAUUUUUUAAAAUUUAAAUUUAAUAUUUUAAGGGAUAAGCUUUAAUUUAAAAUAUUUAUAAUUAAAUAUUAAAUUUUUUGAAAAUUUUAAAAUUUAUAUUGUUUAAAAAUUAUAAUUUUUUAUAAAUAAUUUCAUAAAAAAUAAAAUUUAAUUUUAAUUUAAUUUUUUAUAAAAAAAUAAAAUUAAAAAAAAUAAUUUUAGUUAUAAUGAUAAAAUUAGUAUAUAAAUUUUAUUUAAUUAAUAUUAUAAAAUAUUUUUAAAUGAAAAAUUAAUUAUAAGGAAUUCGGCAAAAAUUUAUAUUCACUUGUUUAUCAAAAACAUGUCUUUUUGAAAUAAUUUAAAGUCUAAUCUGCCCACUGAUGAAAAUUGAAGGGCUGCAGUAUUUUGACUGUACAAAGGUAGCAUAAUCAUUAGUCUCUUAAUUGGUGACUUGUAUGAAAGAUUGGAUGAGAUAUAAGCUGUCUUAUUUUUAUUUAUAGAAUUUAAUUUUUU
rnacentral:rRNA from 1 species